rnacentral:rRNA from 1 species
CAGGGGGUGCAAACGUUGCUCGGAAUUAUGGGGCGUAAAGCGCGCGUAGGCGGUUACCUAAGUUGGAUGUGAAAGCCCUUGGCUUAACCGAGGAAGUGCAUCCAAAACUGGGUAGCUAGAGUGUGGAAGAGGGUCGCGGAAUUCCCGGUGUAGAGGUGAAAUUCGUAGAUAUCGGGAGGAACACCAGUGGCGAAGGCGGCGACCUGGUCCGAAACUGACGCUGAGGCGCGAAAGCGUGGGGAGCAAACAGGAUUAGAUACCCUGGUAGUCCACGCCGUAAACGAUGGGUGCUUGCUGUUGCUGGUAUUGACCCCGGCAGUGGCGAAGCUAACGCGAUAAGCACCCCGCCUGGGGAGUACGGCCGCAAGGCUA